AUGAACGCUGGCGGCGUGCCUAAUACAUGCAAGUCGAGCGAACGGACGAGAAGCUUGCUUUUCUGAUGUUAGCGGCGGACGGGUGAGUAACACGUGGAUAACCUACCUAUAAGACUGGGAUAACUUCGGGAAACCGGAGCUAAUACCGGAUAAUAUUUUGAACCGCAUGGUUCAAAAGUGAAAGACGGUCUUGCUGUCACUUAUAGAUGGAUCCGCGCUGCAUUAGCUAGUUGGUAAGGUAACGGCUUACCAAGGCAACGAUGCAUAGCCGACCUGAGAGGGUGAUCGGCCACACUGGAACUGAGACACGGUCCAGACUCCUACGGGAGGCAGCAGUAGGGAAUCUUCCGCAAUGGGCGAAAGCCUGACGGAGCAACGCCGCGUGAGUGAUGUAGGUCUUCGGAUCGUAAAACUCUGUUAUUAGGGAAGAACAUAUGUGUAAGUAACUGUGCACAUCUUGACGGUACCUAAUCAGAAAGCCACGGCUAACUACGUG
rnacentral:rRNA from 1 species